CCCUUAGACGUUCUGGGCCGCACGCGCGCUACACUGACGAAGGCAACGAGCUUUCCUUUACCGAAAGGUACGGGUAAUCUUUUGAAUCUUCGUCGUGCUGGGGAUAGAUCCUUGCAAUUAUUGAUCUUAAACGAGGAAUUCCUAGUAAGCGCAAGUCAUCAACUUGCGUUGAUUACGUCCCUGCCCUUUGUACACACCGCCCGUCGCUACUACCGAUUGAAUGGUUUAGUGAGGCCUUCGGAUCCGCGACUCGUUUUGUGGAGAAGUUGGACAAACUCAGUCAUUUAGAGGAAGUAAAAGUCGUAACA
rnacentral:rRNA from 1 species